rnacentral:rRNA from 1 species
ACGAACGCUGGCGGCGUGCUUAACACAUGCAAGUCGAACGGAAAGGCCCUGCUUUUGUGGGGUGCUCGAGUGGCGAACGGGUGAGUAACACGUGAGUAACCUGCCCUUGACUUUGGGAUAACUUCAGGAAACUGGGGCUAAUACCGGAUAGGAGCUCCUGCUGCCUGGUGGGGGUUGGAAAGUUUCGGCGGUUGGGGAUGGACUCGCGGCUUAUCAGCUUGUUGGUGGGGUAGUGGCUUACCAAGGCUUUGGCGGGUAGCCGGCCUGGGAGGGUGACCGGCCACAUUGGUACUGAGAUACGGCCCAGACUGCUACGGGAGGCAGCAGUGGGGAAUAUUGCGCAAUGGGCGGAAGCCUGAUGCAGCAACGCCGCGUGCGGGAUGACGGCCUUCGGGUUGUAAACCGCUUUCACCUGUGACGAAGCGUGAGUGACGGUAAUGGGUAAAGAAGCACCGGCUAACUACGUG